rnacentral:tRNA from 1 species
GACCUUAUCGUCUAAUGGUUACGACAUCACCUCUUCAUGUUGAUAAUAUCGGUUCGAUUCCGAUUAAGGUUAUUC